UACGUAGGGUGCGAGCGUUGUCCGGAAUUAUUGGGCGUAAAGAGCUUGUAGGCGGUCUGUCGCGUCUGCUGUGAAAAUCCGGGGCUCAACCCCGGACUUGCAGUGGGUACGGGCAGACUAGAGUGUGGUAGGGGAGACUGGAAUUCCGUGGUGAUAGCGGUGAAAUGCGCAGAUAUCAGGAGGAACACCGAUGGCGAAGGCAGGUCUCUGGGCCACUACUGACGC
rnacentral:rRNA from 1 species